rnacentral:lncRNA from 1 species
GGAAGUCACAUGCACCGGAAACAUGAUCGGUUUAAAAGUAAACAAGGACUAGAAAAAUGAUUUUCUGCUUGAAAUAAUAGUGGAAAAGAAAAGUGAACAGGUUAUUGUGAGAUAGUCUGAUUACUUUGGAGCUGCCAGAUUGUGUAUGAAAUCCUGAAAAAAGUAUUUCAACAACUUUUUCAUGAACCACAGAAACUUCACCUUACCAAAUUGUAGGACCAGACAUUGUGAGAAAGUUUGAUUGCAUUCAAGAGCUGCCAGAGCUAAAGCUAGAAAAGAAACUAAACAACUUCUUCUCAUGAUCUGCUUAAUUGAUCUUCACAUUGAAUUGUCAACCUGUAUGCUACAUUGUAUAAUGACGUUGAGCAAAUAAAGAUACUGCAGUCAGCGUUACAACCUUCAUUAAACAGUAAGAUUUUUAUGACAAUAUUUUAAAUUACUUUACAUAUAUUUUUGUCAAGCACAAAUGGCUGUGCUGUGUA